UACGAAGGGGCUAGCGUUGCUCGGAAUCACUGGGCGUAAAGGGUGCGUAGGCGGGUCUUAAGUCAGGGGUGAAAUCCUGGAGCUCAACUCCAGAACUGCCUUUGAUACUGAAGAUCUUGAGUUCGGGAGAGGUGAGUGGAACUGCGAGUGUAGAGGUGAAAUUCGUAGAUAUUCGCAAAGAACACCAGUGGCGAAGGCGGCUCACUGGCCCGAUACUGACGCUGAGGCACGAAAGCGUGGGGAGCAAACAGG
rnacentral:rRNA from 1 species